ensembl:lncRNA
CUGAGAGAUGGGAGAUGUGUGUUGACAGUGCUAUAUGGAGUGGAGGUUCAGGGAGCCAGAGCCACACCGGACUCACUCCACACUGGGCUGGACCGGCCGCACGCACCCCGAGGUGCACUCUGCGGCUUCCUCUGCCCGGACUUUCUUCUCUUACAGAUGGAUGGAUCACCCUGCUUCAUCUCAGAGAGUCCCAGACAGUAGGGGAGAAAGAAUAAAGAGAGAGACAAGGGUGAGAGGGCAGCAUGUACGACAAAGAACCGCAGCUGCCGUUUCGUCUCCUGAAAAGGCAGGUGAAAAUGACGCAAUGACAUCUGGGCUCAGGUCUCACCUCCCACCUCACUGUGACGAUCGUCAUGACUGCUCUUCCAGUCCAGCCCCGUCGAGGAGAAUCUUGUGAAGACGCAGAGCUUAGCUCAUUAGUGAGCACCGAGGCAAACCCUUUUGUUCACAGUGGCUAAGUUCAGUGUCUGACAUGAAAAGAAUGAGUUCCGGCGUUCCGGCACAUUACCCCUCUGACCCCACCCUUCUAGGUAGAAGAGGAAGAAGAAAUAGAAGACGAGGAGGAGGAGAAGGUGCAUGAAGGGGCAGACCACCUGCUGAAUGUAUAGGAAUGUCUUUUUUUUCCUUCUUGCACGUGCAGACAUGUAUCUGCAUGCAACAAAUGUGUGAUCACUGUGCCCAGUUGCCCACCAUGAAUUCAAAAUGUUAUCGAUAAAUUAGCCAAUAUACAGUUCAAUGAAUUAAGAUGUAAAGGGGUGAUGACUUAUUUAUCAUUAUUCAGAAUCAUUUAUUAUAUCUGUAUUUUGUAUUUGCCAAAUGAACUGUUCAUAUGGGUUAGGGCAGAGGUCUUCAACAGGGGGUCCGUGGAGGUACUGCAGGGGGGUCGCGAAAGUUUUGGUUGAUUCGACUUUUUUUAUAUAUUCCCCCCAUUUUUUCCACAAAUUGAAAUGUUUUUAAAUACACAUUAACAUGAAUCAAACACACUAGCCACGAUUACAUGGACACUUUUGAUCCGAUUUCUAAUAGAUCUAUUCCUAUCAUGCGAUCCGAAUGUAGGCCUACUAUAUGGCAUUUACAAAAGUGGUAAGCGCACAUCUGGAGUGGCUGCGACAUUUUUAUGUAUCUGAUUUUAAUUAAAGCCUAGCAGGAGAGAGCUUUUCUCUGCCUGCUCCUUCAAUUACGAAGAAGGACAGCACAGCGUCGUAAGUUUCUCGUCCGGUCUUUAUAUCUACCCCCUCCUCCGCCGGCGCAAAAAAUACGUAUGGAUAAGAGUGCGCAGCCAAGACUGUUGGGAGAGAGAGAGAGAGAGAGGGAGAGAGAGUGCUGUUAUGUAAGGGAUAGAACGCCGGUCCUUAUCCGGAAAAUAAGUGAUAAGCAGAGAAAUAGUCUGCCAAAGACGUUGACGUCGCUUAGCAACCAGACACGCUGGGGUUGAUAAAUUACCGGACUACUCCCGGAGUAUUAAGAAAGAGACUAACAAACAUCCCUUAUUUUCGUUUUUUUGCAAUUGACAGACAAUGUUGAUCUUGGCAGGUAUCAGUUUAUUAUGUUAUGUUAUGUUAUGUUAUGUUUAUGAGUGGCAGUGGCAUGGCCACCCUACUCACUGUACGUUGCACAUGUUAAAAUGAAAACAUGAAUAGAUGAACCUGUGUAUUAUUUGAAUAUCUUAGUAUUGAAUGCAAAAUAACAAGGUACAUAGCACUAUGGGACCAGUUUAACACAAUUUGGUACAAUAUAUAAGUAGGGGGUCCCCGCUCCAUCUCUCCAUCAGUUUGGGGGUCCUUGGCCUGGAAAACGUUGAAGACCCUGGGUUAGGGUUUAUGUACUCCUGUGCCUACUGUACUGGAAUCAGUGUGACCAUGAAACUGGCUCAGUCCAGCAGGGACAGCAGUGAGACCCGAUUUCUGGACCAAUGCCGUUGUUCAUAACAUCAUCACCAAAGACGUCAUUUAAAAUUAUAAAAAAAAGUUAAAAGUUAAAAGCUCUGAUUGAACUGUCAUAAACCACAAUGCUUUACAACCGCACUGCUGAAUAUAUUAUUCUUUGACUCUGGAUGCAUUGCAAAUGGGAUGGUGUGGUCUCUGCAGUAUUUGUUAUUUAUCCUGUGGUUGUGUAUGUCAAUCUGUCUGCCUCUUUCUUUUUCCCAAAUGGGUCCUCUCUCAUAUAGCUAUAAAAAAUUUGAGAUUAAAAUCCCUGC